rnacentral:rRNA from 2 species
UCAUCUCCGGGGGUAGAGCACUGUUUCGGCCAGGGGGCCAUCCCGGCUUACCAACCCGAUGCAAACUGCGAAUACCGGAGAAUGUUAUCACGGGAGACACACGGCGGGUGCUAACGUCCGUCGUGAAGAGGGAAACAACCCAGACCGCCAGCUAAGGUCCCAAAGUCAUGGUUAAGUGGGAAACGAUGUGGGAAGGCCCAGACAGCCAGGAUGUUGGCUUAGAAGCAGCCAUCAUUUAAAGAAAGCGUAAUAGCUCACUGGUCGAGUCGGCCUGCGCGGAAGAUGUAACGGGGCUAAACCAUGCACCGAAGCUGCGGCAGCGANNGUUGGGUAGGGGAGCGUUCUGUAAGCCUGCGAAGGUGGCCUGUGAGGGUUGCUGGAGGUAUCAGAAGUGCGAAUGCUGACAUAAGUAACGAUAAUGCGGGUGAAAAACCCGCACGCCGGAAGACCAAGGGUUCCUGUCCAACGUUAAUCGGGGCAGGGUGAGUCGACCCCUAAGGCGAGGCCGAAAGGCGUAGUCGAUGGGAAACAGGUUAAUAUUCCUGUACCUGGUGUUACUGCGAAGGGGGGACGGAGAAGGCUAUGUUGGCCGGGCGACGGUUGUCCCGGUUUAAGCGUGUAGGCUGGUUUUCCAGGCAAAUCCGGAAAAUCAAGGCUGAGGCGUGACGACGAGGCACUACGGUGCUGAAGCAACAAAUGCCCUGCUUCCAGGAAAAGCCUCUAAGCCUCAGGUAACAUCAGAUCGUACCCGAAACCGACACAGGUGGUCAGGUAGAGAAUACCAAGGCGCUUGAGAGAACCCGGGUGAAGGAACUAGGCAAAAUGGUGCCGUAACUUCGGGAGAAGGCACGCUGACACGUAGGUGAAGCGGUUUACCCGUGAAGCCGAAGUCAGUCGAAGAUACCAGCUGGCUGCAACUGUUUAUUAAAAACACAGCACUGUGCAAACACGAAAGUGGACGUAUACGGUGUGACGCCUGCCCGGUGCCGGAAGGUUAAUUGAUGGGGUCAGCGCAAGCGAAGCUCCUGAUCGAAGCCCCGGUAAACGGCGGCCGUAACUAUAACGGUCCUAAGGUAGCGAAAUUCCUUGUCGGGUAAGUUCCGACCUGCACGAAUGGCGUAAUGAUGGCCAGGCUGUCUCCACCCGGGACUCAGUGAAAUUGAACUCGCUGUGAAGAUGCAGUGUACCCGCGGCAAGACGGAAAGACCCCGUGAACCUUUACUAUAGCUUGACACUGAACACUGGUCCUUGAUGUGCAGGAUAGGUGGGAGGCUUUGAAGUGUGGACGCCAGUCUGCAUGGAGCCGUCCUUGAAAUACCACCCUUUAAUGGCUGGUGUUCUAACGUAGACCCGUGAACCGGGUUGCGGACAGUGUCUGGUGGGUAGUUUGACUGGGGCGGUCUCCUCCUAAAGCGUAACGGAGGAGCACGAAGGUUGGCUAAUCCUGGUCGGACAUCAGGAGGUUAGUGCAAUGGCAUAAGCCAGCUUGACUGCGAGCGUGACGGCGCGAGCAGGUGCGAAAGCAGGUCAUAGUGAUCCGGUGGUUCUGAAUGGAAGGGCCAUCGCUCAACGGAUAAAAGGUACUCCGGGGAUAACAGGCUGAUACCGCCCAAGAGUUCAUAUCGACGGCGGUGUUUGGCACCUCGAUGUCGGCUCAUCACAUCCUGGGGCUGAAGUAGGUCCCAAGGGUAUGGCUGUUCGCCAUUUAAAGUGGUACGCGAGCUGGGUUUAGAACGUCGUGAGACAGUUCGGUCCCUAUCUGCCGUGGGCGCUGGAGAACUGAGGGGGGCUGCUCCUAGUACGAGAGGACCGGAGUGGACGCAUCACUGGUGUUCGGGUUGUCAUGCCAAUGGCACUGCCCGGUAGCUAAAUGCGGAAGAGAUAAGUGCUGAAAGCAUCUAAGCACGAAACUUGCCCCGAGAUGAGUUCUCCCUGAGACUACAAGUCUCCUGAAGGAACGUUGAAGACGACGACGUUGAUAGGCCGGGUGUGUAAGCGCAGCGAUGCGUUGAGCUAACCGGUACUAAUGAACCGUGAGGCUUAACCUUACAACGCCGAAG